GCCGCUUUAGCUCAGUUGGUAGAGCACCUGAUUUGUAAUCAGGCGGUCCCCGGUUCGAGUCCGGGAGGCGGCUCCA
rnacentral:tRNA from 3 species